rnacentral:rRNA from 1 species
UACAGAGGUCUCAAGCGUUGUUCGGAUUCAUUGGGCGUAAAGGGUGCGUAGGCGGCGCGGUAAGUCGGGUGUGAAAUCUUGGAGCUUAACUCCGAAACUGCAUUCGAUACUGCCGUGCUUGAGGACUGGAGAGGAGACUGGAAUUUACGGUGUAGCGGUGAAAUGCGUAGAUAUCGGGAGGAACACCUGAGGCGAAGGCGGGCUACUGGGCCGAUACUGACGCUGAUGCGCGAAAGCCAGGGGGAGCGAACGGG